rnacentral:piRNA from 1 species
UAAAUUUAUUGACAUUAAGAUUGGAGGGUA